CUUCUUUCGUGAAAGGUAUUGAUCUCUCUUUCUCGAUGAUCUCAACAAACCUUCUCAUCGAUCAUCCCUUUCUCCCUUACGUGAGCGGCUCACGGUGAGCCUAGAUACUCCUCUCCAAAGGUGUGAGUCAAAACUCAUCGAUCAGCAACUCAUCUUCCUUGUUCUGGGUCGCAACUUGAGUCCAAACCCGUUUGAAGCUCUUCCGCAAUCAAACUUUGUGAAACAAAGCUCGUUCCUGGCUCAAAGCUCUCGGACUGGAAGGAGAAGCUGGACCGUGAUACAGAGCUUUUGAAGGUUCAGGCUAAUAUACAAGCAUCCUAGCUGUCCUCACUAAAAAUCGUCUGGACUGUCCUGACCUUGGAAUCUUAAGCAUCAAAGAUCAAACCCUUCCUUCUGAAAGUGUUGAGAAAGUGGUUGGCUGGGCUUUGAGCCACCAUCUUAUGAACUGCGCAGAACCUACAGUCAAAGACAACAAGCUUGUUAUCUCAGCAGAUAGGAGGAUUUCCACAAGAAAGUAAAGACAAAAACAGGAGAGGACAUGAUUAAGUAUCAGCCUGAAGAUAUCAGAGUCUGUCAUUUUUCUUUUGUUGAAAACUACGAGAGUAUGACAAAUGAUAUGGUUACGUACUGCUGCUUUAAUUUUUCUUUGCGUUCAUGUUUAUAGAACCAUUCUCGAUCUGAGACUACCAUGAAAACUUUUUGCUUUUCUUAUAUAUAAACAUAUCAUUUUAUAUUUUGUUGGAGUUUGAAUUAUUAUAUUAAAUAUAUUGUGCUCAAAUA